GACAAGGUGGCCAAGUGGUUAAGGCGAUGGACUGUUAAUCCAUUGUGCUCUGCAUACGUGGGUUUAAAUCCCACCCUUGUCG